ensembl:rRNA 5_8S_rRNA 5.8S ribosomal RNA
UCCUCUUAGUGGUGAAUCACUUGGCUUGUGCAGAGAUGAAGGACUGAGCUAGCUGUGAGGACUAAUGUGAACUGUAGGACACACUGAUCAUCGACACCUUGAACCCUCUUUGUGUCUCCGGCCCCCGAUGACGAUGGCCCAAAAAACCUUU